UAUGAUUUCAAGCCAGAUGACUUUCUGUGAAGAGGACAAACAAGAGUUCGGAGUGCAUGUGUGUGUGAAGUGAAUUGGAUUGAUCAGGUCAUUGUAUGAAUGGCAACCUGAUAAAAACGCAGGAAUACAAAUAUAGUAGUAAGUCUUGGCUCUGCAUUAUAUGCACUCUGUUCCAUUCCAGGGAGUUCCUUCUGAGAAGUUGGAUUUCUCUGUAUUCUCCAUGUGGCACACAGACAGAACCCUAUCACAGAGAGAGAAGCUCCUGUCUAAACACAAUCCUGUUACCGCAGCUCAUCUGGACAAAUGUUUGUCUGCGUCCCUCUCGGAUGUCAUUUCUCUAAGCACUGUUGAGAUAAACAAGAGAGAGUGAGAGUGAUGGAGACAGAAGGGAAAGUCAAGCAUGAGCGCUUCAGGAGUGACCCUUUAAAGCAGCAGCUCUGAUCACCAUCACACACGCCGCAAACACAAUGACACACUGCACAUUAACUGCAUACACAUGCAAAACUCACCAACAUAUGGAAGCCCAUUUCUGCCACUGAAUAAAAAAUACAAAAGGGUGCUUGGAGGAAACCACGCAAUUCAUAUGGAUUACUUUGGCGAUGUCUUUUUGCCAUGAACUUUUUGAAACGUGAACAUCUUUGAUGAAUCUUUUCAUCGGAGGAGCAUAAAUCUCUCAGAUUUCAUUAUAAUAUCUCCACUUUUCUUUCGAAGAUGAACGAAAGUCUUUGAUGGUUUGGAGCAUCUUAAGGCUUCUGCGAGCGUGUAUGGCGUCUGGCUUCAGAACCUCACUGUGACUUCAGAUAAGAACAAAGAUUAAAUUGUAAGAAGGGUUGCUUAUAAAAGCAUACAGUACAUCUGAAACUGCUGAGACUGGUAAGGUUUUUGACUAUAUUUCCGACCAGGUACAUUGUUCUGUCAUUCUUAAAUAGAAAACAAAUCAUCAAUCAUCAUUUGCCUUUUUUGUGUGUGUGCGUGUAAGAAAUAUUAACAUUUGUUGUUUUUCAGAUCAGCUGCUAUAGAAGACAAAAUGAAAUCUGAGUGCAGAGACAUGCAAAGGAAUACUGCAAGGCACUACUGACUAGGCUGUGCCCAGGUCUCCGGAACCUGCGACGACGCUCAGCUCCGUUGGCCCUUAGUCUGCGCCUUCGGAUCCACCAGCUCUGUCUCCAUCGGUCGGCCCCCAGAUGUUGGCAGCCACACCAUCUACAUCUUGGCUCCUCCCUCCCUCGACUCCGCCGUGUGUUGUCAGCACUGGGAUGCUCUGGGUCUGUGCCAUGUGCCAAACACCAUCUAAGCCGCAUCUCAUCCUCCCAUCACCAUCCCUUCACCACAUCCUGCCAUCAUCCCGCACCUUUGCCUCUCACCAUCCCUACAUCAUCUCCUCGUCCACCUCCAAAACCCCUCUAUCCCUCCCUAUUCUGUUGCUUGAACUUUAUCAUCUUCAGUCUUUGCACACAAAUCUAUUCACUUUACAUGUUUUUUUUUCUUCAGAAAAUUGCAUUGUAAUUUUUAUUUAUUCAUUGAUGCAAAAUUCUUUACUUUUCAGUAAUACAGGUAUAACUGAAAUGUUCUACAAAUGGAUAAGAUGGCUCUUCCAUAGCAUUUCAGUCUUUUUUUCAUUUAUGUUUUUUGUAUAAUGUUUUAAAAUGUACUUGAGUAUGUUUGUAGUAAUACAAAAAUACUAUAAACAUACUUGUAUUUCAAGUGCAUUUUUAAUACAUUUAAUAGUAUGUUUGUUUUUGUUUUUUUCAC